GACGGGGAACCCCUAAAGCCCUUCACACCAAACCAGCCCGGGAAACCUGCUGGCGGCCCGUGGGAAACUACGGGGUAUGGUAACAGAGGAAGGGAUGAUCUUGGCCCAUUAGCAGGCCAGGUGAAAUGGGCGAUCCGCAGCGAAGCCCCUGCCGUUCAUCGGUCGAGCACCGCUCGAUUGAAACAUGGGGAACGUUCACAGACUAAGUGGAAGUGGGUGGAGCGCAAAUGCUCUGCUUAAGAUAUAGUCGGGCCCCUGCAGAGAUGCAGGGGAAGUAUCACAGAGAGGGUGAAUGACGGGACCACUCUUGCCUCAGUUCCCGUCUGAGCCUUCCUGUGAGAAAACAAAAAACCGUUCCGUAGGUGAACCUGCGGAAGGAUCAUUA
rnacentral:rRNA from 1 species